rnacentral:rRNA from 1 species
AGCGAACGCUGGCGGCAGGCUUAACACAUGCAAGUCGAGCGGGCACUUCGGUGUCAGCGGCAGACGGGUGAGUAACACGUGGGAACGUACCCUUUGGUUCGGAAUAACGCUGGGAAACUAGCGCUAAUACCGGAUACGCCCUUUUGGGGAAAGGCUUGCUGCCGAAGGAUCGGCCCGCGUCUGAUUAGCUAGUUGGUGGGGUAAUGGCCUACCAAGGCGACGAUCAGUAGCUGGUCUGAGAGGAUGAUCAGCCACACUGGGACUGAGACACGGCCCAGACUCCUACGGGAGGCAGCAGUGGGGAAUAUUGGACAAUGGGCGCAAGCCUGAUCCAGACAUGCCGCGUGAGUGAUGAAGGCCUUAGGGUUGUAAAGCUCUUUUGUCCGGGACGAUAAUGACGGUACCGGAAGAAUAAGCCCCGGCUAACUUCGUG